GAACCUAGUUUAAUUUUAGUGUCGCAGACUUGUUUGUUUUUUUUCAUACCAGAAAGCUUUUAACAAUUUUUAUUUGAAUCAGAAGAAAACAUAACAUAUGAAAAAAAAAAAGAAACUUUUGGAUUGUUGAAUACCAAAAUGAUAUAAAAAACAACGGAACCAUCGUAGUAUUUGAAAAUAGAUUCAAAAAGAAAAAAGAAAGUUGGUGAUUCUAUUGUUUAUUAUUUAAGGAUCCGGAUCCAAAAGACCUAGUAGAUUUUGUACUUCUUUUUUCUUUGAUAGAAAAAAAUAAAUUUGUAAAUGUAGAAACAAAAUUCAUCGAAUAAAAUACUUUUAGGAAAAGAUAAAUUGCAUAGGUGCAAAAGCUGUAUGCAUCAAUACAAAAUGCUUGUACGGUUAUUGAAUAUUCUUUUUGCUUUUUUCUUAUUUGGCUUUAUUUUAUCCCUUUUACCUUUAUUUUGGGAAUAAAGACAAUCUUUACCAAUAUACCAACAUAGGAUAAAGAAUUCUAAAAAUAUUUAUCAAGAUAAGGGAAAUACUACUUAAGUGAUAUAAUCAGGGUAAUGAUCCACCAACCCGCUAGUUCUUUUUAUGAAGCU
rnacentral:lncRNA from 1 species